UUGUCAAAUAAAAAAAAAUUAUUUUCCAAAAAAUUUAAAAAAACUGCAAAUGUUUUCAUCCUUUGGCGCUGAACUAUUUUUCCUUUCCCUCUCUUCUCCCAAAACCAGAUUUAACACAGUACCCUCUCAAAACCAGUACCCACAUCGAUCCAGACAACCCUUCUUCCUCUCAUCGUCGACCAAAACCAAUUUUCAUAUGAUCACAAAAAUGAAACCCUUCAAGCCCUAAACUAUCAUCUCAUCUUCUCACCGAACCCUUCAAACCCUAACCCUGUAAUCUCUACCCAUGGAUUCAUCUUAAUAGAAUCAUAACCCAUCAUCUCGUUCGAACUAAUCCACCAAACCCAUCAUCUCAACUUCUCAUCGAACCCUUUUCUGAAAGCGGCGAACUCGUAUGCAUUUCGUUUGAUUUGUUAUUACUGGGUUUGAAGGUAUUGAAUGCUGCGGCCUUUUUGCCUAAUCUAUGCUAAUAAGGGAAAUGGCUUCUAAUAAUGAUGAAUGUGGUGUGACUCAGUUGCAAAAAAUUCACAGCCAAAAGCAAUCAGCAGUUUGGCGUUAAUAAAUAUUAGUGAUACUUUAGAGAUGGAAUUGGACAUGAUUUGUUGCUAAUUUUGGUUUCUGAAACUCUCUUAAUGUUAAUAUAUAUUAAUGAAACUUUAGUAAGAUUGCUGACUUUUUUUUUGCACUUCAAUUUUGUUAUAGGUUCAAUGGAAAGCAAGAGGUCAACCAAUCAAGCAUAAGAACAAGGAUUUUGCUAGUUUCGUUGGUGUCACAGUUCUUCACUUAGUUCCGAUUGCUAACAUUGGUGUCACAUUUGGGAUGACAUUCAAUUCGAAGGUUGGAAGUUCUAGUCUUAAUCUGUGGCUAUGAGAGCUGGUCACUUUGGAAUUUUUUGGUUCGGCUGCUGUUGCGUGGGAUGGGCAGUGCUUCGGUUGGAAGUUGUUCCUAGUUUCUGCUGUUUUGUUGUCCUUGUUUUUUAGGUGAUAUUUCUUUUGUUAAGGGGAUAUGAGUAAAUUGUUUCGAAUUGAGCACCGUUGUAUUCUAUUGGAAAAUUUGGCUAUGUAAUACCCUUUUUUUUAUGUUAUCUGUAGACAGGUUUUGGAUCUUAUCAUAUUAUAUAUGCAAUAAGUAAAUAAAGUUUUAUUUGAUAUU
rnacentral:lncRNA from 1 species